UAAGCUAGUCCCUGGGGGCAAUAUUGUUUUGAAAACAAAUUUAAAGUGUUCGAUUCACUUACUAGCUU
rnacentral:tRNA from 1 species